rnacentral:miRNA from 1 species
UAGUAACGAAACUUCAAGUGGCA